CCUACGGGAGGCAGCAGUGGGGAAUUUUGCGCAAUGGGGGAAACCCUGACGCAGCAACGCCGCGUGAGUGAUGAAGGCCCUCGGGUCGUAAAGCUCUGUCUAGAGGAAAGAAAUGUUUGGAGGCUAAUAUCCUUUGAACUUGACGGUACCUCUGAAGGAAGCACCGGCUAACUCCGUGCCAGCAGCCGCGGUAAU
rnacentral:rRNA from 1 species